AAACUAACAAGGAUUCCCCUAGUAGCGGCGAGCGAAGCGGGAAGAGCUCAAAUUUAUAAUCUGGCACCUUCGGUGUCCGAGUUGUAAUCUCUAGAAAUGUUUUCCGCGUUGGACCGCACACAAGUCUGUUGGAAUACAGCGGCAUAGUGGUGAGACCCCCGUAUAUGGUGCGGACGCCCAGCGCUUUGUGAUACAUUUUCGAAGAGUCGAGUUGUUUGGGAAUGCAGCUCAAAUUGGGUGGUAAAUUCCAUCUAAAGCUAAAUAUUGGCGAGAGACCGAUAGCGAACAAGUACCGUGAGGGAAAGAUGAAAAGCACUUUGGAAAGAGAGUUAACAGUACGUGAAAUUGUUGGAAGGGAAACGCUUGAAGUCAGACUUGCUUGCCGAGCAAUCGGUUUGCAGGCCAGCAUCAGUUUUCCGGGAUGGAUAAUGGUAGAGAGAAGGUAGCAGUUUCGGCUGUGUUAUAGCUCUCUGCUGGAUACAUCUUGGGGGACUGAGGAACGCAGUGUGCCUUUGGCGGGGGUUUCGACCUCUCACACUAGGAUGC
rnacentral:rRNA from 1 species